rnacentral:rRNA from 1 species
ACUCCUACGGGAGGCAGCAGUGAGGAGUAUUGGUCAAUGGACGGAAGUCUGAACCAGCCAAGUCGCGUGAAGGAAGACGGUUCUAUGGAUUGUAAACUUCUUUUGUACAGGGGUAAAACGCUCUACGUGUAGAGCCUUGCAAGUACUGUACGAAUAAGCAUCGGCUAACUCCGUGCCAGCAGCCGCGGUAAUACGGAGGAUGCGAGCGUUAUCCGGAUUUAUUGGGUUUAAAGGGUGCGUAGGCGGUUUAUUAAGUCAGCGGUGAAAGUUUGAGGCUCAACCUUAAAAUUGCCGUUGAAACUGGUUAACUUGAGUGUAGAUGAAGUAGGCGGAAUUAGUGGUGUAGCGGUGAAAUGCAUAGAUAUCACUAGGAACUCCGAUUGCGAAGGCAGCUUACUAAGGUACAACUGACGCUGAUGCACGAAAGCGUGGGUAUCAAACAGGAUUAGAUACCCUGGUAGUC